rnacentral:lncRNA from 1 species
AUGGUAACAGACGGGAUUCACCGUAGUCACCGGCCAGCCAGGUGCGUGUGUGGCUGGCGGGCGACCCAGCGGGCUACCGCCAGCCCUGCGUGUGCCGCCUUGGUGGCUUGCGUACGGCCGGCGCGGCCACCGCCUCCAGCUCUCCGAAAAUUGAAAGAUGCCGGAGGUGGCUUCCUAAUGGCCGAACUUCUCGGGAAGGAUGUUCUUUGCCCAGUGGAAUGUCAGGCAGAUGGGACCGUACGUGGCACGCUUAGCAGUCACAUUGCAGGCCAAGCCAGAUGGGCAAGCAAUACAAGCUGUGAAUUUAUUCUUGACCCUGUAGGACAGUGACCACCGUCAUUUUUGUCUUCACCGUACAGUUAUGCACUGCCAAUAAGUGGCCACAGCAACCCUUGUUCCUGGCUGGGGAAUGCAUUACAAGUCUCAUGGCUAAUUACAGCAUCACAGUGUUCCUAGAGGGUACCUAAGUUCAGCAGUGCUUAGCUACAGCACCAGGCAAGGGGAUUUAUGGGGUGAAAUGACAUCAGCCUGCUCAUGACAGUCAUGGUAAGGUCAAAGUGAGUCCCUCUUGCAGAUCAGGAGUCAGAGGGUCCUGUUUAGUCCCAGUGUCUCUGAAAUUCAACCAUGCUAUUUAAUUUGAAUAAUUUUUUUUUACUGGUUUCAGUGGAAAAAAGGUUUGUGGAUCAUCUACAGUCACUUGACUAGAUGGUGGCAUUAUUCCACUGAUUCUGAUAGCUGAAGAUUUCCAUUGUAGCUGAGCCAGUGCUAUAAGCUGGGAAUUGGGCUGUUUUUUCCUUCACUGGAAUAAAAAUACAGUAUUUUGUGUAUUAGCUCA